rnacentral:tRNA from 3 species
GGGCCCGUAGCUCAGUUGGGAGAGCGCUGCCUUCGCAUGGCAGAGGUCACGAGUUCGAGUCUCGUCGGGUCCA